UUAAGUUAAUAAGGGCGCACGGUGGAUGCCUUGGCACUAGAAGCCGAUGAAGGACGUGACUAACGACGAAAUGCUUUGGGGAGCUGUAAGUGAGCAAUGAUCCAGAGAUGUCCGAAUGGGGGAACCCGGCAGGUAAUGCCUGUCACUCAUUACUGUUAAGGUAAUGUAGAGGAAGACGCAGUGAACUGAAACAUCUAAGUAGCUGCAGGAAGAGAAAGCAAAAGCGAUUGCCUUAGUAGCGGCGAGCGAAACGGCAAGAGGGCAAACCGAAGAGUUUACUCUUCGGGGUUGUAGGACUGCAACGUGGACUUAAAGAUUAUAGAAGAACUACCUGGGAAGGUAGGCCAAAGAGAGUAAUAGCCUCGUAUUCGAAAUAGUCUUUAUACCUAGCAGUAUCCUGAGUACGGCGAGACACGAGAAAUCUCGUCGGAAUCUGGGAGGACCAUCUCCCAACCCUAAAUACUCUCUAGUGACCGAUAGUGAACCAGUACCGUGAGGGAAAGGUGAAAAGCACCCCGGGAGGGGAGUGAAAUAGAACCUGAAACCGUGUGCCUACAACAAGUUCGAGCCCGUUAAUGGGUGAGAGCGUGCCUUUUGUAGAAUGAACCGGCGAGUUACGAUAUGAUGCGAGGUUAAGUUGAAGAGACGGAGCCGUAGGGAAACCGAGUCUUAAUAGGGCGCAUUAGUAUCAUGUCGUAGACCCGAAACCAUGUGACCUACCCAUGAGCAGGUUGAAGGUGAGGUAAAACUCACUGGAGGACCGAACCAGGGCACGUUGAAAAGUGCUUGGAUGACUUGUGGGUAGCGGAGAAAUUCCAAACGAACUUGGAGAUAGCUGGUUCUCUCCGAAAUAGCUUUAGGGCUAGCGUCGAUGUUAAGUCUCUUGGAGGUAGAGCACUGUUUGGGUGAGGGGUCCAUCCCGGAUUACCAAUCUCAGAUAAACUCCGAAUGCCAACGAGAUAUAAUCGGCAGUCAGACUGCGAGUGCUAAGAUCCGUAGUCGAAAGGGAAACAGCCCAGACCACCAGCUAAGGUCCCAAAAUAUAUGUUAAGUGGAAAAGGAUGUGGGGUUGCACAGACAACUAGGAUGUUAGCUUAGAAGCAGCUAUUCAUUCAAAGAGUGCGUAAUAGCUCACUAGUCGAGUGACCCUGCGCCGAAAAUGUACCGGGGCUAAAACAUAUUACCGAAGCUGUGGAUACCUUUAUAGGUAUGGUAGGAGAGCGUUCUAUGUGCGAAGAAGGUGUACCGUGAGGAGUGCUGGAGCGCAUAGAAGUGAGAAUGCCGGUAUGAGUAGCGAAAGACAGGUGAGAAUCCUGUCCACCGUAAGACUAAGGUUUCCAGGGGAAGGCUCGUCCGCCCUGGGUUAGUCGGGACCUAAGGAGAGACCGAAAGGUGUAUCCGAUGGACAACAGGUUGAUAUUCCUGUACUAGAGUAUAUAGUGAUGGAGGGACGCAGUAGGCUAACUAAACCAGACGAUUGGAAGUGUCUGGCCAAGCAGUGAGGUGUGAUAUGAGUCAAAUGCUUAUAUCUAUAACAUUGAGCUGUGAUGGGGAGCGAAGUUUAGUAGCGAAGUUAGUGAUGUCACACUGCCGAGAAAAGCUUCUAGCGUUAAUUAUACUCUACCCGUACCGCAAACCGACACAGGUAGUCGAGGCGAGUAGCCUCAGGUGAGCGAGAGAACUCUCGUUAAGGAACUCGGCAAAAUGGCCCCGUAACUUCGGGAGAAGGGGCGCUGACUUAUGGUCAGCCGCAGUGAAUAGGCCCAAGCAACUGUUUAUCAAAAACACAGCUCUCUGCUAAAUCGUAAGAUGAUGUAUAGGGGGUGACGCCUGCCCGGUGCUGGAAGGUUAAGAGGAGUGCUUAGCAAUAGCGAAGGUAUGAAUUGAAGCCCCAGUAAACGGCGGCCGUAACUAUAACGGUCCUAAGGUAGCGAAAUUCCUUGUCGGGUAAGUUCCGACCCGCACGAAAGGCGUAAUG
rnacentral:rRNA from 1 species